rnacentral:rRNA from 1 species
GCUUAAAACUCAAAGGACUUGGCGGUGCUUUACAUCCCCCUAGAGGAGCCUGUUCUAUAAUCGAUAAACCCCGAUAUACCUCACCAUCUCUUGCUAAUUCAGCCUAUAUACCGCCAUCUUCAGCAAACCCUAAAAAGGAAGAAAAGUAAGCACAAGUAUCUUAACACAAAAAAGUUAGGUCAAGGUGUA